AACUUUAUGGACAGAAAUACUUGUUGCUUCCUGCAGAAAGCUGUAGCAGGAAAGACAAAGAAAAGGGAAACUGUUCAUUUCUUCCUUUUAUGAAGGGCAUGCUUGUUAUUUUUUUUAACUGCGGUGUGGAGAUAGAAAGGUAGGCUGAAGGAAAGACAGGCGCAUGUUCCGUGAAAAUCACCGUUGGAGGUUUUCUUUUUGGUUUUAUAUGUUCCGUUUUCCUGUGUUACCAUACUCUUACAGCCCCCCUAUACACCGUCACGCUCUCUAAACCCCUCUCCUCUCCCCGUAUCAGCUCCACCACACCUCUGUCAGUUAUACCAGACAAUCUGAUUACGGGGUGGAGGUGGUGGUUUACCUUAAAAAUCAAGCGAACCCAUUUUAACUUCCCUCAUUCACGAUGAAGGCAUUUUCUUUCAAGGGCAGCUUUCGUUGUUAGCUCUUCAGCACAGAUUUUAUGCCAAAACUGACAUUUUUCAGGACUCACACACACCACAUACACACAACACCACACACACACACACACAGAACGCACAACACACAGACACAAAAACACAUGCAUGCACGCACACAAACACACCUCACCAAUGUUGUGCCUCUUGGUGCUGGUGCAGUGCAUUAUCAUGUGAUAUGAUAAGUAAGCAUACUAUAUUGUGUGGAAUGCGUAGUUUUAUUCUGCCUUCAUAUGCUCAUAAUUUUAUUUCUGCAGUGUUACACAGCCGCCUGUUCAUUUUCACUCUGCUAUCCAGCAGCUGAGCUGCACAUUACUGCAUCUGAAAGCACAUGCCAUGAUGUGCCAUUAACACGGGCAGAGUGCAGGGGUCUGACCACUAGAAGAGCUGCUCUUGUGGAUUGGGAGAGGGACAAUAGAGCCAACUGACACCCUCUCCCCAUUACAAUUAUGUACUACUCUGGCAGGCCAUGGGAUGCACCAUUGGACUGAAACCUAGUGUUUUUAGCAAGGCGAUUCACCUCACAGCCCACGAGCUUGCUGAAAAGUAUGGUUUUAACAAAUUUUUAAACUAUGUUUUAAAACAGCUUGCCUGAUUUUAUUGUUUCAUAACUGUCAUUGUUCUGUUAAUAUUUUUCGUUAUAAGAAAGGUUGGGUCUUUGUGUUUUGAGGAUGUCACAUUCAUCUGGAGACGUGCAUGUACUUAUGUGCGCAGUUCAGAGUGCUCUGGUCUCAAGAGAGUGGGGAAGGCGGCUUCUCUAAACUCACUUUUUGGGGAACUGAAUCUGCCGAUCCCAGCAAGCCACCAAACAUUACCAGAUUGUUGUGGUGGGAAAGCUGCUGAGAGAGUUAGUAUUGGCGUUUGAGAAAUCCCCCACAAACGCAGUUCAGAGCACCCAGGUCUGCGGCCUGUGGCUCCAGAACAUUGAUUUUUUUCUCCUUCGCCUCACGAGAAAAUCCUCCCAACUUCUCUAAUUGAAGAAGCGCUGGGGUGUCUGCACCUGACCCUGAGAGAAAAACCUCAGCUUUAAAUGUUCCUGAUUACAGGUUGUCCGUGCUCAUGUCACAUGCAGACACGCACUUGUCAAACAACAUACGCGGCGUGGAAGACAGAGGCUGGGAGAAGAGCUGGGCCUGGGUCGUCUGGUGGGCUGUCAGCAGCUGACUGCUCUGACCUCAUCCCUACAACAUUAGGCAGAAUGAAGUUGACCAGAGUGGAAUGUGAUAAAAUGAGCAAAUGACCCAGUCGACCAGCAUAACCACAGAGGGAAAAGAAGACGAGAACAGAGAGAAAGCAGCACCGUGUGAAAGUGCUGGAUGAGCCUAUUGAAUCAGCAGACACUGCUCCAGUGGUUGGUCCAAACACCUCCUCAACGCAGGGCCCCUGGCGACAGAAAGGUGACACACCCAGUGCCUGCGGUUGGGACACGUGAUGGUUCAUGGGGGUCUGAACCCCCCCCAGCACUCCGAGCGAGUGGAGCCGGUUUUGGCUCAGGUCCAGGCCCAGACAGAAAUCAGUCCGGGAUGUUCGCCUGAAUCAGAACCUUCUGCUCCCUUGGCUUGGCACAAGAAUCCGGUUGGAGUUUCCCAGGGUGAACUGGGGUCCUGAGAUGAACCUAGAGACAGCAAAUGCACCAUACUAUGAAAACAAAUCUGUACAUGCAUCACUGAUAUAGGCUUGCAAUGCAAUUUGUGUUUCUGCAGUUACUCUAUAUAUGUAUAUAGGGUUAAGGGUCAAGACUUUGGAAACAGCAGUGUGUUUACUCACUGGUGUUGCAGGGGUCAAGCUUGGAGGUGAGGUGGGACAGAUCCUGGCAAGAUAUGAGGAGAGAACUGAAGUCUAAAACAAGCCAGCGCGAAUGGAAUACAAAGAAGGAAGAGAAGGGAAAAGAGAAAGACAGGUCUCCAGGGGUGCAUUUUAAUUUACUCGAUUGCCCUAUAUUCCUCGCCACUUUUUUGUUUUGAUGGUAGGGCUGUUUUACAUAUUCUUGCCCUCAAAGCAGCCGAAGAGCGGGGGACCUGUUUUAUGUAAACGCAACGCGCCAAAUGAAAUCACGCUAUUGUAAAAAAAGACGGAGAAAACGUUUGAAAGAAAAAUGAUGUGUGACUUGCAUCCCGAGGUGAAGCAGAUAAUAAAGGGAACAUUGUGUUUAGGCCGACAGUAACAGCAUGAAAUGAUCUGAUUUAUAGAGCCCAUCAGAGGCGGACAGACUCAAAUGACUUUGGAAACACAGUGUAUCUGAGCCUGUGUGCUUGUGUGUGUGUGUGUGUGUGUGUGUGUGUAAGUGUAUACAGUACACAUGUGUGUGCAUUUUUGUGUAUGUAUGUAUUUAUAUCUGUGUAUACAGCUUGUGUGUUUGUGUGGAUGUGCCUCUAUACAUAUGUGCAUAUUUAGGUAUGUAUGUAUGCAUGCUUGUGUGUACAGUGCAGUCUGUAAGCAUUUGGACAGUGGAAUUUUUUUAUUGUUGUUUUGAGAUCAAUGUACUGACUGUCAGCUCUGAUUUAAGGGUACACCCAUAUUGAGUGAUCAGUGUAGGAAAUACAACCCUUUUUAUGCAUAGUCCCCCCAUUUUCGGGGAUCAAAAGUAAUUGUACAACUGGCUGCUCAGCUGGUCCUUGACCAGCAGUGUGUCAUUGCUUCAUUAGUUCAUAGACAAGGUCAAGAGUUGAUUCUAGGAGUGGUUUGAAUUUUGAAUUUUUGAAUUUAGAAUCCGUUGCUGUUAUCUCUCAACAUGAGGACAAAAGAAGUGUCCAUGCCAGUAAAACAGGCCACCAGGAGGCUGAAAAAAUUUGAAUACAUUGAGACAUAAAUUUAAGUGUCUCAAAAUCAGUGUUUGGUAAAAAGCCACAGUGCAAUGGUGAGCUCAGCAAUGGCAAACAACCUGGUAGACCAUGGAAGACUACUGUCGUGGAUGACCAAAGAAUACUUUCUAUUGUUUAGAAAAAACCCUUUUCAGCUGUUGAAAAGAUCAAGAACACACUCCAGGAUGUAGGCACAGAUGUGUUAGAGACUAUCAUAAAGAUAAGGGUACACCAGCAUAACCGAAGAGGGUUCACUGCAAGAUUGAAAUUGAAAUCAUCUAUGUCUAUGCAAAACUGAUUGUUGAGGUCUACCUGCUGGUAUUUACAACCAUCACAUGCUGUUAAAAUCAUGAGUACUUUUCCAUCUUGUAGAGGUAUUCAAUAGCUGGGCUGAAUUAGCUCCUAACAUUUUUUUGUUUGGUCUCAUUAGAAACAGGCUAAAACCAUGAAUGUUUUCAUGAUAAUAUCAUGGUUCAUAGCCCUGCUUUUUUAAACUACAUUUAAAUAGUAACUAAAUUGCUAGCUAUUAGAUAGGUCAAUAAAUGAGUCUGAUUCCCCCCCCCCCCUUUUUUUCCCCCACACCUUAUCUCAGCAUCAUCCAAUGAGGAAAGGCAUCCUCAAGCCCUGCAGUGGCUGGGUUAAGGUAUUUCAGAUGACUGCAAGAAAACGUUGUGUUGUGCUGCCAUUGGCUUUUGAAGAAGGGAUUUCCUCUUUUUAUUUUGGUGGUGCUUCCUUGGCUGUGUGUUUUUACCUAGUUUCCUUUUGUUCCUGUGGUGCUGAAACUAGAAGAGUGUAAUUCUCUGGCAAGGUCUGGCUUAUCAUUCUCUCUCUUUUCUGGUAAUUUCAAAUUAACGUCUUGUUUAAUGUCUUCUGUUUUGUAAAUUAGUAGUGAGCCUACAUUCAAUAAAGAAUGUAUGAUUUCAAUUAA